rnacentral:rRNA from 1 species
UCCUACGGGACGCAGCAGUGGGGAAUAUUGGGCAAUGGGCGCAAGCCUGACCCAGCAACGCCGCGUGAAGGAAGAAGGCUUUCGGGUUGUAAACUUCUUUUGACAGGGAAGAGUAGAAGACGGUACCUGUCGAAUAAGCCACGGCUAACUACGUGCCAGCAGCCGCGGUAAUACGUAGGUGGCAAGCGUUGUCCGGAUUUACUGGGUGUAAAGGGCGUGUAGGCGGGAUGGCAAGUCAGGCGUGAAAACUAUGGGCUCAACCCAUAGCCUGCGUUUGAAACUGUCGUUCUUGAGUGAUGGAGAGG